GUGACCGGGCACUAUAUAAAUUCCCGGGAAUGUUACCCCCAUUGAGCAAUAUUGAUUAUUUGAGAAAAAUCUAUGCAUAGACUCUUGGGGAUGCACGUCGGGGGACAGUCUAAGGACAAUUCAGACUUGUCGGGUUGGCUGGAUAACCGACAGAUGAGCCUCAUCAGCCAUAGGACAGGCAUGCAUCAUAUGCAUAUUACUUGAAUUACUUGCUUGUGUAUUAACUGGGUGUGCCUAAAUGUACUUGCCAUGUUAAAUGUAUAUUUGUUAUCUGCAGUACUUGUAACCUUCUUGUGCUUGCCUUUGUCUGUUUAAUUGUCUGUGAAAAUGCAUGAUGGAGUCGGAGGUAUGGAGGAAUGGCAGAAUGGGAUUUAGAUUUAAGGUUAAGUUAAGUUAGGUUUAAAUAUCCUUAGUAACCACCUUUUAUGGCUUAUGUUUAAUACUUUAAGCUCUACAAUCUGAGUGUCGG
rnacentral:lncRNA from 1 species